UCAUGAUGAGACACCAGCUGGCACCAGUCAUAGAGUGAUUUGUACUCCCUUCUUUGAUGACCAAAAUUGCUGUGGUCUAAGACCGCCUCUGAC
rnacentral:snoRNA from 1 species